GUGCUGCCCCCUCCAGUGAGGAGCUGCAGCAGGGGAAGGCCACGCUCAUGUGCCUGGCCAACAAGGGCUUCCCCUCAGACUGGAGUCUGUCCUGGAAGGUGGACGGCAGCAGCAGCAGCAGCAGCAGCAUGAGCUGGGAGGAGAGCAGGAGCCCCGGGGUGCUGGAGAAGGACGGCCACUACAGCUGGAGCAGCACCCUGAGGCUCCCUGCAGACCAGUGGAGGAAGGUGGUCUCUGUGAGCUGUGAGGCCACCCAGGGCUCCCAGACUCCACUCUCAGAGACACUGAGGAGAGACCAGUGUUCCCAGUCCUGACUCACUCACUGGGACUCUCAUACUGGUCUGACUCUGUUACUGCUCUCUGUUUGCUCUCCAUUUCUCUUUUCUAUAUUUUUUUCUUUGAAUUAUUUUUUCAAACUAAAAAAAGAUUAGAACAGCCAUAUCUUCCUCUUCAUAAUGAUACAGUUCAUGUUUUCAUGCAAUAAAGCCUUUCGUC